rnacentral:rRNA from 1 species
UACGAAGGGGGCUAGCGUUGCUCGGAAUCACUGGGCGUAAAGCGCACGUAGGCGGCUUUUUAAGUCAGAGGUGAAAUCCUGGAGCUCAACUCCAGAACUGCCUUUGAUACUGGAGAGCUUGAGUCCGGGAGAGGUGAGUGGAACUGCGAGUGUAGGGGUGAAAUUCGUAGAUAUUCGCAAGAACACCAGUGGCGAAGGCGGCUCACUGGCCCGGUACUGACGCUGAGGUGCGAAAGCGUGGGGAGCAAACAGG